UACGUAGGGGGCUAGCGUUAUCCGGAAUUAUUGGGCGUAAAGGGUGCGUAGGUGGUUUUUCAAGUCAGGAGUGAAAGGCUACGGCUCAACCGGAGUAAGCUCUUGAAACUGUAAAACUUGAGUGCAGGAGAGGAGAGUGGAAUUCCUAGUGUAGCGGUGAAAUGCGUAGAUAUUAGGAAGAACACCAGUUGCGAAGGCGGCUAUCUGGACUGUAACUGACACUGAGACGCGAAAGCGUGGGGAGCAAACAGG
rnacentral:rRNA from 1 species